AUUCCAGCUCCAAUAGCGUAUAUUAAUGUUGUUGCAGUUAAAAAGCUCGUGGUUGGAUUUCUGGUCGGAACGCCGGUCCGGCUCCGCAAGGGGUCGUGUAUUGGUUUCUCCUGCCAUCCUCAGGGGGAGCUGCGCUGGUAUUCAUUUAUCGGCGUGGUUACGCCUGUCGUUUACUGUGAACAAAUUAGAGUGUUCAAAGCAAGGUGUACUUGAAUACAUUAGCAUGGAAUAAUAAGAUAGGACUUUGGUGGUUCUUUUUGAUAUUUUGUUGGUUUGCACGCCAAAGUAAUGAUUAAUAGGAGCAGUUGGGGGUAUUCGUAUUCAAUUGUCAGAGGUGAAAUUCUUGGAUUUAUAGAAGACGAACUACUGCGAAAGCAUUUACCAAGGAUGUUUUCAUUA
rnacentral:rRNA from 1 species